UGGUAACGAGGGGGCCGCGGCGCGUCUGCCCGGAUGCGUGUUCGCUUCCCCCGCGACCUGCCCGUCCUCGCCGCGGAGCCCGAGCGGGCCCGCGCGCGCCCUGGGCAGUGGCGCCGGGGCUGCCGGUGGCCCCUGUGUGACCGCACGUCGCCCUGCAAAGGGAGCUGGAAGUCGGGCGAGUGUUUGAGUUAAAAGAUCUGAUUAAGGUUUUGAUUUCGGAGUGAUUGAGAACUUGCUACUGCUCAAGUCAUGACUCUCCCAUUUCGAAAGGACUUGGACAAAUACAAAGAUCUUGAUGAGGAUGAAAUUCUCGGCAAACUGUCAGAUGAAGAAUUGAAACAACUGGAAACUGUUUUGGAUGAUCUUGACCCUGAGAAUGCACUUCUGCCUGCAGGCUUCCGACAGAAAGACCAGACUGCUAAAAAGGCUUCAGGUCCUUUUGACAGGGAACGACUCCUUGCAUAUUUGGAGAAACAGGCUCUUGAGCACAAAGACAGGGAAGAUUAUGUGCCUUUUACAAGAGAAAAGAAAGGGAAAAUAUUUAUCCCCAAACAAAAGCCUGUACAGUCUUACACUGAAGAAAAAAUAUCUCUUGAUCCAGAAUUGGAGGAAGCCUUGACAAGUGCCACAGACACAGAAUUAUGUGACCUUGCAGCUAUACUGGGAAUGUCGAACUUGAUAACAAACAAUCAGUUCUGUGAUGUAGUAGGAAGCAGUAAUGGAGUUGGCAAAGAUAACUUCUCUAAUAUAGUAAAAGGGGAAAAAAUGCUGCCUGUUUUUGAUGAACCACCAAAUCCCACAAAUGUGGAGGAGACUUUGCAAAGGAUUAAAGAUAAUGAUUCCAGUCUUGUUGAAGUUAAUUUAAAUAAUAUUAAGAACAUCCCAAUUCCAACGCUGAAAGAGUUUGCAAAAGCCUUAGAAACCAACACACAUGUGAAGACUUUUAGCCUUGCAGCCACACGAAGUAACGAUCCUGUUGCUGUUGCUCUUGCAGAUAUGUUGAAAGUAAACACAAAAUUAAAAAGUUUAAACAUAGAGUCAAAUUUCAUCACUGGAGUUGGAAUUUUGGCACUGGUCGAUGCACUGAAAGACAAUGAAACAUUAACAGAGAUCAAAAUUGAUAACCAAAGGCAGCAGUUGGGAACAAUUGCAGAAGUGGAAAUUGCCAAGAUGCUUGAAGAAAACACCAAGAUCCUUAAAUUUGGAUACCAGUUCACACAGCAGGGACCUCGAGCCAGAGCAGCUGCAGCGAUCACAAAAAAUAAUGAUUUGGUCUGGAGUAUGCAAGUAAAAAUUUCUGCAAAUGCCUUUUCAUCUCUCCAGCCCUGAAGCUACAGAGACGGGUUACUCUGAAUACCCAGUUGGGUAUUAAGCACUGGAAACUGAAAUGUUUAAAAUCUCACCUCUCUGUCUUUUUCGCAAGAGAAGGGUUGAAGGAGAAAACCAGUAAAUCUUGUUGCUGCCAGAACUGUGUUCACACUUCAAGAGUCCUCGAGGCACACUCAUUCACUGUGGGCUUUGGCAAUCUUGGACUUCCUUUACUUGGGUUAGAAGGGAAAAGACUGGAAACCCCACUCCUUUUAAAGCAAAGCUAUAUUAAUCUGUGUGGUAUGCAUCACAUUUUUCAGAUUGAGACACAAUAACUGCACCAGUCUCUGUAACAUAUUUUUUUAAAAAAAAAAAAAACUUUUUUGUAUUUCAAGACCUCUACUGUGCUUUCCACUAAAAAUAUAAACACAAAUCAAUGGAGUAAUUGUCUGUAGUCAAGGAAUGGGACAUUCAAGAUCACUGGGCAGGUAACCCAAUUUAAAUGUUGGAAAAUCUAGGUGUGCUUAUUUACGUGGAGGGGUAUGUGUACAUUCUUAAGAACAAUACUUUAGUGAUAAGGGAUUCUUCACAUAACAGUUGGACCCAUUAUAUAGAGCUACUCAGCCUUGUUCAUAUGCACUGAAGAGAAAUUUUUACAACUAUCUGUAAACAACUUCCUACAACUAUUUGUAGCUCUCUUCUUUUGAUUCAUUCUUUGUACUGUGAUUAGGUUCAAAAGACACCCCUUUAAAAAGCAGACAAAACAUAAAUUGGCUAAGGACCUCUUGUCCUAAGAGAUUUGUGAGAGACUAAUAAAAACUAAAGUGAGAGCCUUGCAAAUAUGACAGUAUUUCUAUUGCACCUAAAUCCUUAGUCAUUUCUAAAGUCACAAAGCUGUAUCUUGCUCUGUAUCUAAACUGGACAUGUUUUUAGACUGAGUUCCUGUGUUCAUCAUAGUUUAUAUUAUUUGUUUAAAAAUCCUUAUCUAAAUAGAUAAAUAGUGUCAUUUUCUUUAGAAGUAGUGGACAUGCAUUUGUUAAAGUCUGCAUAAUUAUGUAUUGGAAAUGCAGCCUUAACUGUAAAACCAGUGUCCUAAGUAAGUGGCAGAUGGAAAAAAUCCUUUUUAAAAAACUGUUGCAUUAAACUACUUUCCUUCAUAUAAAUCCAUCAUUUCUUUUUUAUAACACAAUAAAGUCACACUUUUAAGAAAGGAUCUUUCUAUUCUACUUCAUGUCUCAAUGUCAAAACACUACAUAAGACAUGCAGAAAUGAACCAAUUUGCAAAGUGAAAUCUAUAUUGCAUAGUGCUUACUAAAAUACUUGAAGUUCUGUAUCUAAAGCAAAUGAAUAUGGCAACAAGAAUCAUUUCAGUUUGCGUACACAAUCACAGUGGACUUUGAUUUAACGUGAAAUCUAGAGGCUAUUUGAUGGAGGUAUCUUUGGAUUAUUGUAUUGUACUACAUUGCUCUGUUUUAAUGAGAUCAUAAAUUCAGAAACAUUCUAAAACAGUUCUAAAGGACUGCUCAGCUGUAUUUAUAGCAACAGAAUUCAACUGACUAUCUUCAUCAGAGAAUCAUAAUAUGUUGAGCAUUUUAUGUAUAGAAAAUGUCAAGGACUGAAAUUUUUGCAUUGGGUAAUACGUUUAUACUAUAAAAAAUCAGUAGAGCAAUUCUUUUUCACUGUGCCCAUGUUAUUUUACUGCAAAUCAUGUAUUAGAUCUUUAAAGACAGACUUUAUUCUGGAGGUGACUUCCAAUUUUAUUGCAACUGUACAGAGAAUUUUAAAUUAUAGUACCUUCAACAAUGAUGUAAAUAACAGGUUUAUAAUUAUAUAGGGCAUUUCUUGUAUCAGAAUUAGCCUUUCAUUGACUAAUUCCAAAUAAAUGUGGGCUCUGAAAAGCAAGCUGGAAUUAAUUCUAUUCAAACUAAAGGCUUUACUAUAAAUUUAACCUAGAAAUGAUCUGAUGAGUAACAAGAAAAGGGGCUUCUUUUAUUUCUGGCUUAUAUAAAUUUUCAAGGACUUUUUUAGGCAGUUUUGAAAUUUAAGUUCUUAUACCAAGCAUACACUUGCAAGCUAAGUGAACUAAGUGGGUGUCUUUUGUGGAUUUUUUUCUUUUUUGUUUUUACAAAUAGUGCUGUAUAAAUAUGGCCAAAGCAUGUCAUGUGCGGAGCUGUCUAGAGCUGUACUCAAUCAUUUUGUGUCAAAAAACAGGCUGUAAUGUCUUCCUUCAUUUGUUGAAGGGCUACAUGUUCAUGAAAUCUGUUCACAUACUGUGCUUCUAUGAUGAUUUAUUGUGUCAUUAUCUAACAAGAUUAUGUGGUUAUCUCCUACUUGAAGGAGAAAACUGAAAGUCUGGAUUAUGGAAAUGGUAGCCGAAAUCUCUUUAUUUUACUUCUAAAAUCAAGUUUAUCUGCUUCUAAUGGUCUAUACUGCAAUCAAAGUCAGAGGCUUUUAAGUUGCAAUUCUUAAGUGUCCUGUCACAGACAGUAGUAAUGAAUCUCUUUUAAUUGGCUUAGCUGUGCAGGUAGCAGCUAAAUAUUUGACUGCUUGUUGGCACUUCCAGGAUAGAAAUCUGACAGACUGGCCAUAGAAAAUUGACUUUUUCAGUCAGAAGGAUCUGGCCCUCUGAAUUACUGAAGGACACUUGGCAUGGUGCAUGGAGCAGUUAAAACAAUUAUUUUUGUGCCUAUGAUGUAUACUCCAUUUUGGAAUAAAUGAAGGAAUUCAGUCUAGCUGGGAAUCAUAAACAGUUUCAAUAAGUAAAGUGAAUGUUCUGCUUUAAUAGUUUCAGAUGUAGUGAGAUCUUGCGUAUGAUUUCAUUUUUUUAGUGCAAAAGUGGUAUUACUUCAGUAGCCAGCUACCAUAAACACAAGAUCCCUUUUCCUAAAAAGGUGGUGGGUUUUUUUAUUUUUAUUUUUUUUAGAUUAUUUUCCAGGCUUAGUGCAGGAGUCAUUUGACUAUGUGUUAUUAAUUAUGCUGGGUUCCACUCUUUAAGCAUGAAAACAAACUAUAUUCCAAAAGAAUUAUCUAUUUACUGUGUUUUAAAUAGCCUCAUUUUCUCUACAGCUUAAUACUGUUUGUAAGCUACAAACGGGCAAGUGUUCAAUUUAAAUUUCCAUUGAGGAAAUAUGAAUUGAGUGUUUUAGCAUAUUGGCACUAUAUGCUGUCAGACUGUGUAACAGUAAAAUUUUUGAAUGAUUAAAUUUA